GAUGAACGCUGGCGGCGUGCCUAAUACAUGCAAGUCGAGCGAACGGACGAGAAGCUUGCUUCUCUGAUGUUAGCGGCGGACGGGUGAGUAAAACGUGGAUAACCUACCUAUAAGACUGGGAUAACUUCGGGAAACCGGAGCUAAUACCGGAUAAUAUUUUGAACCGCAUGGUUCAAAAGUGAAAGACGGUCUUGCUGUCACUUAUAGAUGGAUCCGCGCUGCAUUAGCUAGUUGGUAAGGUAACGGCUUACCAAGGCAACGAUGCAUAGCCGACCUGAGAGGGGGAUCGGCCACACUGGAGCUGAGACACGGUCCAGACUCCUACGGGAGGCAGCAGUAGGGAAUCUUCCGCAAUGGGCGAAAGCCUGACGGAGCAACGCCGCGUGAGUGAUGAAGGUCUUCGGAUCGUAAAACUCUGUUAUUAGGGAAGAACAUAUGUGUAAGUAACUGUGCACAUCGUGACGGUACCUAAUCAGAAAGCCACGGCUAACUACGUG
rnacentral:rRNA from 1 species